AGAGUUUGAUCCUGGCUCAGGACGAACGCUGGCGGCGUGCUUAACACAUGCAAGUCGAACGGAGCACCCCUGAAGGAGUUUUCGGACAACGGAUGGGAAUGCUUAGUGGCGGACUGGUGAGUAACGCGUGAGGAACCUGCCUUCCAGAGGGGGACAACAGUUGGAAACGACUGCUAAUACCGCAUGAUGCGUUGGAGCCGCAUGACUCCGACGUCAAAGAUUUAUCGCUGGAAGAUGGCCUCGCGUCUGAUUAGCUAGUUGGUGAGGUAACGGCCCACCAAGGCGACGAUCAGUAGCCGGACUGAGAGGUUGGCCGGCCACAUUGGGACUGAGAUACGGCCCAGACUCCUACGGGAGGCAGCAGUGGGGAAUAUUGGGCAAUGGACGCAAGUCUGACCCAGCAACGCCGCGUGAAGGAAGAAGGCUUUCGGGUUGUAAACUUCUUUUAAGGGGGAAGAGCAGAAGACGGUACCCCUUGAAUAAGCCACGGCUAACUACGUGCCAGCAGCCGCGGUAAUACGUAGGUGGCAAGCGUUGUCCGGAUUUACUGGGUGUAAAGGGCGUGCAGCCGGAGAGACAAGUCAGAUGUGAAAUCCACGGGCUCAACCCGUGAACU
rnacentral:rRNA from 1 species